UUCAAAUUACUUGAAAGCAAGUGGGCACAGUGGCUGUGGAAAUCCUUUUCUUCCUUCAAGACUUAACUUCCAUCAGUUCUGCAUUGACGGUCAGUGUGUAGUGUUGCAUGUACAUGCAGUAGCAGUGACCAUGUAUAUUUGGCAGUAGUGAUCAUGUGAGUAGAAGUAUCCAAAGCAAUUUUCCUUUUUGAGAUGGACGCUUACUAAGGAGUCCUGGCUAUCCUUGAAAUCCCUACACCCCUGACGAUUCUAGAUAAAAUUAAUAACUCUUCGCCUCCAGACCAAAUAAAUGCUUAAUAAAACAAGAACUGAAUGAUAGUUUUAUAGUCUGGCUUAAGAAAGUAAUAGUCUAGUAAAUGUAUAUUUACUAGAAAGCAUUCUGCUUACUAGUCACAUACUGAAGUAGGAAGAGGUAAAGAUGGUUGUGUUAAUGAUAUUUAAGAGCAUUCUUGAAGUUUUAUCUAAUUAAUUUGAUAAGAGUAGGGAAGAGAAUAAAUAAUGCCAUUGAUGGAAAAGAUGGUACUCGAUUUCAUUAUUGCAGAAACUAAUAUGCAAAUGUCAUUUCCCCCAAUUUAUCAAUUUAAUGCGUCUAUACUGGGAAUUUUCUGGUAACCCUUGGGGGACUUAUGUAGGUAGAUCAGAAUACAUAUAUUUUGAAUCCACUGGUGAUAUGUAUCUGUAAAACUAGCACCUGGGAAACAGUGACAGAGAAUUUAAAGUUCAAGGCCAGCUUGAUCAAAGAAAAACAUAAUAGAGUCUAGAAAUAUUGCAUUGUUAAGUAUAUGGCCAAUAUUUUGAGAUAAUGCCAUCAUUUCAAAAAUACCUAGUUACAUAAAAUUAAAUUCUAGAUGAAUUGAAGAACUAUUU
rnacentral:lncRNA from 1 species